CCUACGGGAGGCUGCAGUGGGGAAUAUUGGGCAAUGGGCGCAAGCCUGACCCAGCAACGCCGCGUGAAGGAAGAAGGCUUUCGGGUUGUAAACUUCUUUUACGAGGGAAGAGCAGAAGACGGUACCCCUUGAAUAAGCUACGGCUAACUACGUGCCAGCAGCCGCGGUAAUACGUAGGGAGCGAGCGUUGUCCGGAUUUACUGGGUGUAAAGGGCGUGCAGCCGGGAGUACAAGUCAGAUGUGAAAUCCGGCGGCUCAACCGCCGAACUGCAUUUGAAACUGUAUUUCUUGAGUACUGGAGAGGCAGACGGAAUUCCUAGUGUAGCGGUGAAAUGCGUAGAUAUUAGGAGGAACACCAGUGGCGAAGGCGGUCUGCUGGACAGCAACUGACGGUGAGGCGCGAAAGCGUGGGGAGCAAACAGGAUUAGAUACCCCGGUAGUC
rnacentral:rRNA from 1 species